UGGCAUUUAACUCCGCGCUUACUGCCACUAGGCAGCUGGUGGAGCGCACAAUUGGUGUCCUGAAAGGGCGCUUUCGUGUGCUCCACCGCACGGGUGGCGACAUCAUGUAUUCGCCGGAGAUGGCAAGUAAAAUAGUGGUCCUGUGCGCAAUACUCCAUAAUAUCGCGGUAAGGAGUAGUGUUGAGCUUCCUCAGGCAGAGGAAUUGCCUGAUGAGGAGCCAGGGGUUGUGCCACGCUUCGGUGGGGGGAGUGUGACACGGAGGGGGAGCCAAGUGAGGGCAAGAAUCGUAGCAGAACAUUUCAGCUGAAUGAUCACACGACCUGUGGACAACAACAACGGCACAACUCCCCACCCCCUUCCCCUUCCCACUCACCCUCCCCUUCUCACUCCCCCUCCCCUUCUCAUUCCCCCUCCCCUUCUCACUCCCCCUCCCCUUCACAGUCCCCCUCCCCUUCUCACUCCCCCUCCCCUUCACAGUCCCCCUCAGCUUCCCAGUCCCCAUCAUCUUCCCAGUCCACCUCAUCUUCCAAGGCCCCCUCAUCUUCCCUGGCCCACUCCACUUUCCAUUCCCCUUCUCACCACACCUCUCCAUCUCUUUCUGGGACCCCUUCUCCUCCUUCCCAUACCCCUUCUCCUUCAUCUUCGUCAUCCCCAUCUGAACCCCCCUCACCCUCUAUUGCCUUACAUUUCUCUCCACCCCCCUCGCCCUCGCAAUCAGACCCCCCCUCUGAAAUUGUUGCUCCAAUCCAGCCUCCUUCCCAAAUCCCUCCUCCUUCCCCAAUCCCUCCUCCUUCCCCAAUCCAUCCUCCUUCCCCAAUCCAUCCUCCUUCCCCAAUCCCUCCUCCUUCCCCAAUCCCUCCUCCUUUCACCAUCCCUCAGCCGGCUUCACCGAUCAUGACAAGCUCACCACCCAGUGAAUGGGCACAGGAAGCCCCUGACGAACCAUCCGGGAGUCAGGAUGUUGCCGUGGAAAAUGUUGCCGUUGGAGAUCCAACAUCCUUGCAGGAUAUAGUUGGCAGUAUGAGGCGCCAUCUCCAGGCCUUGGUGGGGCUUUUGGACGC